UACGUAGGGCGCAAGCGUUUAUCCGGAAUUAUUGGGCGUAAAGAGCUCGUAGGCGGUUUGUCGCGUCUGCCGUGAAAAGUCCGGGGGCUCAACUCCGGAUCUGCGGUGGGUACGGGCAGACUAGAGUGAUGUAGGGGGAGACUGGAAUUCCUGGUGUAGCGGUGAAAUGCGCAGAUAUCAGGAGGAACACCCAUGGCGAAGGCAGCUCGCUGGCCUACAACUGACGCUGAGGCGCGAAAGCGUGGGUAGCAAACAGG
rnacentral:rRNA from 1 species